rnacentral:rRNA from 1 species
AACGAACGCUGGCGGCAGGCUUAACACAUGCAAGUCGAACGGGUGUAGCAAUACAUCAGUGGCAGACGGGUGAGUAACACGUGGGAACCUUCCUAGGGGUACGGAACAACUCAGGGAAACUUGAGCUAAUACCGUAUACGUCCGUGAGGAGAAAGAUUUAUCGCCCUUAGACGGGCCCGCGUCGGAUUAGGUAGUUGGUGGGGUAACGGCCUACCAAGCCUACGAUCCGUAGCUGAUCUUAGAGGAUGAUCAGCCACACUGGGACUGAGACACGGCCCAGACUCCUACGGGAGGCAGCAGUGGGAAUCUUGGACAAUGGGCGCAAGCCUGAUCCAGCCAUGCCGCGUGAGUGAAGAAGGCCUUAGGGUUGUAAAGCUCUUUUACCAGGGACGAUAAUGACGGUACCUGGAGAAUAAGCCCCGGCAAACUUCGUGCCAGCAGCCGCUGUAACAC